GUCUGCUUUGGUUUGGCUUCUAGUCGCCAUGUUUGUGUUGGUAGUGAAAAGGAUGUCGAGACUUAUUAGGGAAUUUUGAUAGGUAUAGUUUGUGUGUGUGUUUCUGUUGGGAUUUCUUAUAUUUAUAGUGUUCAGUUAUUAUUGAGGGUGUGAGUGUUUAAGAUAUAAUACGUCCAAAAUGGUGGUGUCAGUUUGGUUAACGGUGGUGGAAUUUACUGUUAUAUAUAUUUUUUUUGUUUGUGUAUUUUAAUUGUUUAUUUCAUUCUUGAAUUUUAGUGUUUGGGUUUAGCGGUUGAAUGAGAAGGUUACCAUAACAGGUUGAAAAAUUUGACCGCUAGGUUUCUGUUAGCGUUGUUUUCAAGUCUGAAAGGAAAAGUAAAGUUUUUUCCCAGUUUGUACGGAUUUGUUUUUGCAUAUAUAUAUAUGUACAUAUAUAUUUAUAUUUUAUUACAUUGUAUUUCAUUUUAUUAUAUUUUCUGUUUGUCAAUUAUUUUUAUUUUUAUUUAUCUAUUUAUUUUACUUAUUAUAAUUUUUUUUUAUUUGCCUUUUUCUUGAAUGACCGCGACUUUUAUCCGAGAUAAACAGUCUGCGUUUUGAUGUACUCUACCUGGCUUGUAUUGUAUUCUAUAAUUUGUACUUGCUAGCUGUAUUGCCCACUGACCUAGUUUUCCAUUAUUAUCUUUUUGAUUUUGUAGCCAUUGAAUAGGGCUAUGGUUGCUGAUGACCAAAAAGGUUCGUCAAGAAGGUAGAGACGGAAAGAUUUUAUGGCAAAGAUCACUGCGAGGGCUUCUUUUUCUACGGUAGCGUAAUUUAAUUCUGGUUUUCUGAGCUGUCUACUUGCUUACGCAAUAACUACUUCAUUACCGUCUUGAAUUUGAGACAAUAUCGCCCCUAUCCAUAAUUACAUGCGUCAGUAAAAAGUAAAAAUUGCUUGCUUAAGUCGGGAUAUGCCAGAAUAGGCUUAGUUGUAAGGCAUGUUCGGAGGGUCUCAAAAGCUACCUGAUCUUCGUCAGUCCAAACGAAAGGUUCUUUUAAAGCUAAUUUAUGAGUUUUCUUUGUUAGUGGCUGGGCAAUCGAACCAAAUCCUUUAAUAAAACGUCCAUAGUAUCCUGCUAGUCCCAAAAAAGAUCUAAUGUCGUCAGCUGACUGAGGAACUGGAUAAUUAAGAAUGUUAUCAAUUUUUUCGGGAUCUGGUGCGAUGCCUUUUUUAGAAAUGAUAUGGCCUAAAAAAUUUACUGAAUUUUUAAUAAACUGGCAUUUUUUGAGUUUAAGUUUAAGGUUGGCGAUUUUUAAAAUGUUGAAUACUUCGCGUAUGUCUUCUAAAUGGGCUUCGAAUGUGUCUAAAAAAAUUAUGACAUCAUCCAAAUAAACUAAUGCUUUCUUUCCUAAAAUGUCUCUUAGAACGUAAUUCAUUGUUCUUUGAAAUGUUGCCGGAGCGUUACACAAUCCAAAAGCCAUUCUUUUAAAUUGGUAUAAAUUAUUUUCUAUGAUAAAUGCCGUUUUUUCUUUAGCUGAAUCUUCUAGUUCUAUCUGCCAGUAGCCAGAUGCUAGGUCAAGAGUCGUAAAAAACUUUUUUCCGUGUAGUUGGUCGAGAGUGGUAUCUGGUAAAGUGAAUGAAUCUUUUACAGUAACGCUGUUUAAUUUACGAUAGUCUACGCAAAAUCGUAAACUUCCGUUUUUCUUUUCUACGAGUACAACAGGUGCCGCCCAGGGAGAGGUAGAUAACUCGGCGAUGUCUUUAUCCAACAUCUCCUUAAUUUGUCGUCUUAACUCUUCCUGAUGCUUCCUUGCUGCUCGAUAGGGUCUAAGUCUGAUAGGGCCUCUUCCUUGGGUGUCUAUACUAUGCUUAAUUAAACCGGUAUAUCCUAAUUGAGAAUCUGUUGUAGCGAAAAUGUCUUUGAAAUCGUUUAAUAAUUUAAUUAAAGGUUUUUUAUAUUGAAAUUCUACGUUGAUUGUUCUACGUUGAUUUCCGCUUGUUCUUCAUUUGGCAAUGUGUCAUUUUCAUUUUUUACGUCAAUUUUUCCAAUUAACUGACAAGCUGUUUCGACAUUGCCCAAUAAAAUUCCCCGCGGUAAAUGAAUGAGUUUACUUGAAAUUUUACGAAUCAGCAAAUUAUUGCUUGAAUACAGAGGUACUCUUCCUGCUUUGUCUCUCGCCAAAAAAAUAGUCUUAGUUCGACCACAUAGUACGAACUCAUGUUUAAAAGCAGCGUCAACGCCUAAAAUGCAUGCUUCAGAAAUUCCGCUUGUAAUAAUAAAUUCUUGUUCAAGUAUAUAUUCUCCAUAUUGGACAGGUAGCUUUACCUUCCCUAGGGUCUGUAAUUUUCUAUUCUGUACGUCAAAUAAAUCUGUUUCGGUCUCAGCACUGGCCAGUUGCAUUUCCGACGGUAAUAAUCUAUAAACUUUUUCGUGUAAAAGGCUUCUUGCAGCGCCUGUAUCAAACAGCGCAUCAAAUUGAAUCUUAUCGAUAAAAAGGGAAAUACGGGGUGCUGAACUAUUUUGAAUAAUUGUAAUGUGAGAAAUCUGCCGGGUUUUUCCAUAAAAAGAGGUUUGCCUACCAACUGACCCAAAGCUGCAGUUGGUACCUAAGCGUUUCCCUGUCCAUGAGAUGGACCAGGAAUAUUAGGCUUUUGCUGUAUUUGUCUAUUGAUGCAUUCAUUCGCUCUAUGUCCUACGUGGCCUUUCAUGCCACAAGCAUGACAGGUAGUCAGAUCUGAGCAUGGGGAAUAUUGAGAUGUGAAGAAGGGUCGAGGUGGAGGGUUAUUAAUCUGGUACCUGUUUGGAGGGUUGCUCACAAAAUGGGGAGGUGGAGUAUUGUAAUUUUGUGGAGUAUUGUAAUUUUGUCGGUAUUGAUUGUAACCAUUGCUUGUUUGGUAUGAAUUUGCUUGUCUAAUAUUACUAUUAUUGGAAAAUCUGGUUCUAUUACGAUCACUGUCUUCUAUCAAUCGAGUCACUGCUUUUUCCAAUCUUUCUACCUGGUCUGCGCUAGCAGGUCUCUGGGGGUUUCCAUCUUUUUCAGGGACCUUUUGGGGAUACCUGGUACCUGUCGCGAGGGCAUUUAUGGUUUCAGGUAGUUUCUCUAUUGCUUUUAAAAUUUCAAUACUGGUGGAGCUGUUCUCUACUGCGUUAAUAAAUUCUCUUUUGUCUUUUUCUUCUUUUUCUCCAUCCAGACGUAGAGCGUAUUUAUUGGUUUCGGCAACUAAGGCUUCGUAUGUAGUGAAACGUUUGUAGCGGACUUUGUUUCUAAGAGUUUUGUCUAACCCUUGAACAAAUUUUUGUCGCAGCAUUUGGA